AUGGCGGCGGAAGCGGCGGAGGAGAUGGGGGCGGGAGCGGGAGCGGCGGUGGGAGAGAAGGGACCGGCGACCGCGGACAGGGCGAUGGGGAAGACGGGUAGGACGGAGGAGGAGAAAGGGGACGCGGCCACGGACAAGGGGAAGGGGUCAACGGCGGAGAAGGAAGAGAAGGGAGCGACGGCCGGGAAUGAGGAAGAGGGGGAGGAGGAGGAGAGAGCCAAGGCGGAGCAAAAGGGAGAAAAUCGACCGGCAUCGGCAAAGAGGGGGCACAAGAAGAAGGCCGAAGCAGGGGAGAUGGAAGGGAUGUUCACAUGGUUCUCUGAAAUUGCAUUAUCUGAGAAUGGGGCGGCGGCGGCGGAGAGGGAAAGAAGGGAGCGACAACGUUUUAGCAGAACGAAGGGACAACGGCCGGAGGAGAAGGGAGCGAUGGAAGAGGUGGCCGGCAAAAAAGAGAUCUUUUUCUUCAUGGCCAGUGCUGUCAUCACCUUGGAGAGCUCGGAUGGGAUGCUGUUCACGGUGUCGGAGGAGGCGGCACGGCUGUCCGUGCCCCUCGCCGACAUGAUCGACCAGGGCUGCGCCGGAGGCAUCAUCCAGCUACCCAACGUGGACGCCAGGGCCCUCGACACGGUGAUCGAAUACUGCAACAAGCACGCCGACGCCGCCUCUGCCAACAGCCGCGUCGAUGAGGGCAGCAGCAGCUGCAACUCCGAGGCAUCCGAGGAGGCGCUGAUGGAGUGGGACCGCAAGCUCGUCGACGGCCUCAGCCAGGACGCCCUCUGCGACGUCAUCAUCGCCGCUAAGUUCCUCCACAUCAAGGGGCUCCUCGACGCUGCCUGCCAGAAGGUCGCCGUCGUGGACAUGGUCAAUUGCAAGACCCCCGAGCAGAUGCACCAGAUAGAGGAGGAAGACAUGUGCAAAUGGUUCUCUGGACUUACUCCCUUUUCUGAGAAGGGGACGGCGGCAGCGGAGGGGGCAAGAAGGGGGAGAACCGUUGGUCAACGGCCGGAGGAGAAGGGAGCGAUGGCAGAGGAGACAGAGCAGGUUGCUGGCGAAAACGACACAUUUUUCUUCAGGGCCAGCGGAAAAAUCAUCACCUUAAAGAGCUCGGAUGGGAUGCUGUUCAAGGUGUCGGAGGCUGCAGCCCGGCUGUCCGUGCUCCUCGCCGACAUGAUCGACCAGGGCUGCGCCAAAGGCAUCAUCCAGCUACCCAAUGUGGACGCCAGGGCCCUCGCCACGGUGAUCGAAUACUGCAAUGAGCACGCCGCCACCGCCGCCACCGCCAAUCCUGACGCCAACCACGGCGUCGCUGAGGGCAGCAGCAGCAGCAACUCCGAGGCAUCCGGUGAGGCGCUGAAGGAGUGGGACCGCAAGCUUGUCGACGGCCUCAGCCAGGACGCCCUCUACGACCUCAUCAUGGCCGUCAACUUCCUCCACAUCAAGGGACUCCUCGACGCUGCCUGCCAGAAGGUCGCCGGCAUGAUCAAGGGCAAGAGCGUGGAGCAGACGCGCAAGAUGUUCGGCAUUGCCACCGACUUCACCGAGGAGGAGGAGGAGGAACUGCGUAAAGAGAGUCCAUGGGCCUUCGAAGAGUAG
rnacentral:rRNA from 1 species